GAGGGAGGAGUGUUUGACAGAUGACGGCGAGAGACUGAAUCUGAGAUUGUGAGAAGCCAUGGCUAUAGCCUCCUCCUCCUCCUUGUCUCUUCUUCGAUCUCAACAGAGGAUGCCCUCUACUUCUCCUAUCUUCUUCCAUCUUGAAGAAUCAGCCAAGUCUUUUUGUACUGUCGUUAGAACAGAAGAUCACGGAGUCUUACCUUCUUUUGUGGGGUCCACGCUUCAAUAAGAAUGUGAUAUAACUCAAACUUAAUCAUAUGUCAUGUACGAUUAGAUCUUUUGUCUUUGUGUACUGAUUUUGACUUCUCAGAAAGCUGUUGUGAAGUCUUUUUAUCUCUUUCAGUGCUUAUGUAACUCCCAAAAGUAAAUAUUUCGUUUUAUUUCUUUGA